ensembl:lincRNA Gm29348 predicted gene 29348
CACGUGGGAUGUUAACCAGGGCCACCUAGCAGCAAAUGCCCAGGCUGCUUCCAGGACUGCUAUUAUGAAGCUUACAGCAGAGCGACUUGCCAUCAGGAAGGCUCCUGUCUGCCAAGACGCCAGCACGCCCUGCCACCAGCAAUAAUUGCCAACAAGAAUAGCAGACCGUGUAAGAUAAGAAAGAUUGUAAGCUGUUCAGCCAACUAGAAUCGUCUGUGCUAAUGACUGGCAGGCAUCACAGGUUCCUUAUUUCAUGGGACAACCAUCAGAAGCACCAUCUCAGAUGUACUUGCCAUGAGGAUCAAAUGAGAUGCCAUGAGAAGAUGACACAAGACGUCCAAGCUCUGGGAAGCUGCUGUGAAAUCCAUACAGGGACAGGGAAGCUGUCAGAGGGAAUUUGGGGGCUAAUACUAGCCAGAAGCCAUACAGUGUAAAAGGAUGCUCUGACAGGCAGCUGACAGUGAGCAGCUCUGCACGGGGACGUUAGUUAAGAGGGCUUGUGGACUUAUAUUUUGUUUCAUCUGUGGAGGGAGGGGUAUGUAUGUGUGAGAGCAAGCAUGUGUGUGCUGCAGGAUGCUAAGGGCAGAGGACAGCCUCGGGUGUCAACAGUCUCCUUUCACUGUCUCUGAGACAGGGUCUCUGCUGUUUGCCUGUUUGCACAGGCACCAGGGUAACUGGGAGCUACGGGGAAUUCUCUCAUCUGUACUUCCCACCCAUCCCUCCACAGAAGCACCGAGAGUGCAGAGGUGUGUACUAUCUCAUGAGGUUCACAACGGGUU